rnacentral:rRNA from 1 species
GAAGCGAACGCGGUGAACUGAAACAUCUAAGUAACCGCAGGAAAAGAAAUCAACCGAGAUUCCCAAAGUAGUGGCGAGCGAAAUGGGAUGAGCCUUGUACUCUUUAUUUGUAUUGUUAGCCGAACGCUCUGGAAAGUGCGGCCAUAGCAGGUGAUAGCCCUGUAGGCGAAAACAGUAUGAAAGAACUAGGUGUACGACAAGUAGGGCGGGACACGUGAAAUCCUGUCUGAAGAUGGGGGGACCAUCCUCCAAGGCUAAAUACUCGUGAUCGACCGAUAGUGAACCAGUACCGUGAGGGAAAGGCGAAAAGAACCCCGGGAGGGGAGUGAAAUAGAUCCUGAAACCGCAUGCAUACAAACAGUCGGAGCCUCGUAAGGGGUGACGGCGUACCUUUUGUAUAAUGGGUCAGCGACUUACGUUCAGUAGCAAGCUUAACCGUAUAGGGCAGGCGUAGCGAAAGCGAGUCCGAAUAGGGCGUUCAGUUGCUGGGCGUAGACCCGAAACCAGGUGAUCUAUCCAUGGCCAGGAUGAAGGUGCGGUAACACGUACUGGAGGUCCGAACCCACUAACGUUGAAAAGUUAGGGGAUGAGCUGUGGAUAGGGGUGAAAGGCUAAACAAACCUGGAAAUAGCUGGUUCUCUCCGAAAACUAUUUAGGUAGUGCCUCGUGUCUCACCUUCGGGGGUAGAGCACUGUCAUGGUUGGGGGGUCUAUUGCAGAUUACCCCGCCAUAGCAAACUCCGAAUACCGAAGAGUGCAAUCACGGGAGACAGACAUCGGGUGCUAACGUCCGGUGUCAAGAGGGAAACAACCCAGACCGCCAGCUAAGGUCCCCAAAUAUGGCUAAGUGGGAAACGAAGUGGGAAGGCUAAAACAGUCAGGAGGUUGGCUUAGAAGCAGCCACCCUUUAAAGAAAGCGUAAUAGCUCACUGAUCGAGUCGUCCUGCGCGGAAGAUGUAACGGGGCUAAGCCAUAUACCGAAGCUGCGGAUGCGUGCUUGCACGCAUGGUAGGAGAGCGUUCCGUAAGCCUGCGAAGGUGCCUUGUAAAGGGUGCUGGAGGUAUCGGAAGUGCGAAUGCUGACAUGAGUAGCGAUAAAGGGGGUGAAAGGCCCCCUCGCCGUAAGCCCAAGGUUUCCUACGCAACGUUCAUCGGCGUAGGGUGAGUCGGCCCCUAAGGCGAGGCAGAAAUGCGUAGCUGAUGGGAAGCAGGUCAAUAUUCCUGCACC